UACGUAGGGUGCAGGCGUUAAUCGGAAUUAUUGGGCGUAAAGAGCUCGUAGGCGGUCUGUCGCGUCGAAUGUGAAAACCCGGGGCUCAACCCCGGGCCUGCAUUCGAUACGGGCAGACUAGAGUUCGGUAGGGGAGUCUGGAAUUCCUGGUGUAGCGGUGAAAUGCGCAGAGUAUCAGGAGGAACACCGGUGGCGAAGGCGGGACUCUGGGCCGUAACUGACGCUGAGGAGCGAAAGCGUGGGGAGCGAACAGG
rnacentral:rRNA from 1 species